rnacentral:rRNA from 1 species
UGAGGAAUACAUCGGAAUCUACUUUUUCGUGGGGGAUAACGUAGGGAAACUUACGCUAAUACCGCAUACGACCUACGGGUGAAAGCAGGGGAUCUUCGGACCUUGCGCGAUUGAAUGAGCCGAUGUCGGAUUAGCUAGUUGGCGGGGUAAAGGCCCACCAAGGCGACGAUCCGUAGCUGGUCUGAGAGGAUGAUCAGCCACACUGGAACUGAGACACGGUCCAGACUCCUACGGGAGGCAGCAGUGGGGAAUAUUGGACAAUGGGCGCAAGCCUGAUCCAGCCAUACCGCGUGGGUGAAGAAGGCCUUCGGGUUGUAAAGCCCUUUUGUUGGGAAAGAAAUCCAGCCGGCUAAUACCUGGUUGGGAUGACGGUACCCAAAGAAUAAGCACCGGCUAACUUCGUGCCAGCAGCCGCGGUAAUACGAAGGGUGCAAGCGUUACUCGGAAUUACUGGGCGUAAAGCGUGCGUAGGUGGUUAUUUAAGUCCGUUGUGAAAGCCCUGGGCUCAACCUGGGAACUGCAGUGGAUACUGGAUGACUA